ensembl:snoRNA SNORD115 Small nucleolar RNA SNORD115
GGAUCAAUGAUGAGAACUCAUAUUGUCUUGAAGAGAGAUGAUGACCUAAAAAUCUUGUUCAAUAGGAUUACAUGGAGGCCC